rnacentral:rRNA from 1 species
GCGGUGGAUGAUGUGGAUUAAUUCGAUGCAACGCGAAAACCUUACCUACCCUUGACAUGUCCGGAAUCCGAAGAGAUUUGGGAGUGCUCGCAAGAGAACCGGAACACAGGUGCUGCAUGGCUGUCGUCAGCUCGUGUCGUGAGAUGUUGGGUUAAGUCCCGCAACGAGCGCAACCCUUGUCAUUAGUUGCCAUCAUUUGGUUGGGCACUCUAAUGAGACUGCCGGUGACAAACCGGAGGAAGGUGGGGAUGACGUCAAGUCCUCAUGGCCCUUAUGGGUAGGGCUUCACACGUCAUACAAUGGUCGGUACAGAGGGUUGCCAACCCGCGAGGGGGAGCUAAUCCCACAAAGCCGAUCGUAGUCCGGAUCGCAGUCUGCAACUCGACUGCGUGAAGUCGGAAUCGCUAGUAAUCGCGGAUCAGCAUGUCGCGGUGAAUACGUUCCCGGGUCUU